ACCCUAAAUUUCUUCAUGGCUAUCCAUUCUUUACAUUCUACUCUUUGCCUUUCUGUGAUCCUCUAUGGCCGCCAAUGUUGAGUAUGAGGAUUUUGCCAUCGCGCAGUUUCUCUGUGUAUAAUGCAGUUUCUCUGUGAAUAAUGUUGUAGACGGUUGACUUAGCACCUUCUGGAUUUCAAAGCAUUUCACUACCUUUUGGAACUCUAUUCUUUCCUUUAUCUCAGUGUUAUAUCUUCCUCCUAUUUGGUUGUCUGGCUUCAUCCUUGACCUUCCGAUGUCUUUUGGUGCACUGUUUCUUUAAAAUGACUAUAUCAUUCCUAUAUACUUAUGUUGUAGACUUAUUCUUUGGUCUCACAAUGUUGUCAUUAUUUUUUUUUUUUAAAUCUCCUGUGACCUGUGCAUAAAAAUUUCUCUUGAUUGGAUUUCACAAUGCUACUAGGAAGAUUCUUUGUAUUUUAUGGUUGUUAUGAAAACUGGAUUUGCACUUCGGGUAGAUGUCACUAUUUCUUUGCUUCUCUACAGUUAUUACUUCUCCUUAGGUGAUGCUUCAAGGGUAUAUAUACUCUUUGAGACUUAUAUUUGAGUGCAUUAUGUUAUGUUGCUAACUCACAGAUCAUUAAUGCUUUUGACAGUUAAUCAAUCACUGUUUUAGAUACCUUAACACUUAUCUAAGAUUCUAUUAUGUAUGUACGAGAUGUGAAUGUCUGUUUGAUCUUGCAAGAUGUAGGGCACUACUACUUUAAAAUGCUCUCAUAGUAAAACUCUUCAUUCAGUAUAAUUGUACCACUGUCGUGUGAGGAUCUUUGUACCUGAAGCCUUUGUUCUUGUUGCUUAUAUUCCAUUAUUGCUCCUACCAUUUUAUGGUACUCUUGACUGUAAAUACUUUGCCAAAAACUCUCUUGGCUAUGUCUACUAUUGAUUGUCACAGGUUUGGUCUCAUUUUUUUGUGUUACAAAUUUGACCUUAGGACAUCAACUCAUUCUCUUGUAACCGUCAUUGUGGCUGCAAACUCUGUGUGAUCAUAACCACUGUUCCUAUGAAGACUGUGCAUGGAAAAUAGGUGACCAUCUUUGAAUGCUUUGGAUCAUGCAUUAAAACCGAGGUCUUUGCUUUAAUGUCACUGUACAUUCUUGGCCUAUGAUGAGGCUGUGGAGAGAUGGUACUGGUAUCACUGCUAUAGUUGUUAUGUGUUUAUUCAUUGGCUGCUUUUUGAUUAUCAAAAUCAUUGUCUUUAUUUGUUAACAGUGAACAAUACUAUAACUGCAAUUUUUUAAUUUGUGUCACUUUUUUACAGUCUUCUAUGAAGAUUUGGCAAUUCUUCGUUCACUCUUUGACUACUCUGAAGAUUAGCUAUAUGUCUGCAUUGUUCAAGCUCAUCGUACUGUUCUUGAAUGCCUAACUCUCUGCCAGACAUUGAUGAUUUGCUCAUUUAGACUUUUGUAGAUCUUUUCCAGCUUUUGACUGAGAAGAAUCUUUUCAAGGAAUCAAGAGCAAGGAGUCGAGGCUUGGGACAACAUCAACCUAAGACAACAAUGAUUGGUUACCUCCUUUCAAGCACAUAAAUUUUUUCCUUUACUUAUUCAUGUAUAUGUUUUCCACAAUGUGUGUUGAACAAGCAAUGGUUAGUCUCACGGCUUGUGUGAGACAAAAUGUACAUUUAAAAAAAAUAAAGAUUACUCUUUCAGAAAAAA